rnacentral:rRNA from 1 species
CACGUGAGCAACCUGCCUCUGAGAGAGGGAUAGCUUCUGGAAACGGAUGGUAAUACCUCAUAAUAUAGCGGUACCGCAUGAUACUGCUAUCAAAGAUUUAUCGCUCAGAGAUGGGCUCGCGUCUGAUUAGCUAGAUGGUGAGGUAACGGCUCACCAUGGCGACGAUCAGUAGCCGGACUGAGAGGUUGAACGGCCACAUUGGGACUGAGACACGGCCCAGACUCCUACGGGAGGCAGCAGUGGGGAAUAUUGCACAAUGGGCGCAAGCCUGAUGCAGCGAUGCCGCGUGGAGGAAGAAGGUUUUCGGAUUGUAAACUCCUGUCUUAAGGGACGAUAAUGACGGUACCUUAGGAGGAAGCUCCGGCUAACUACGUGCCAGCAGCCGCGGUAAUACGUAGGGAGCGAGCGUUGUCCGGAAUUACUGGGUGUAAAGGGAGCGUAGGCGGGAUUGCAAGUCAGAUGUGAAAACUAUGGGCUUAACCCAUAGAACUGCAUUUGAAACUGUAGUUCUUGAGUGAAGUAGAGGUAAGCGGAAUUCCU